rnacentral:tRNA from 1 species
UCCCUGGUAGUCCAGUGGCUAAGACUCUGCGGUACCAAUGCAGGGAGCCUGGGUUCGAUCCCUGGUCAGGGAA